GUUUCUUCUUCUUCGUCCCCCCUCUCUUCUGUUUCCUUCUUCUACAGAGAUUAAUUCGUAUUUGUGAAUCCUUUUUACUGGUCUUUAUCCUCCUCUGAGGAUAUCUUUAAUUAUUACUUGUGCAAUUUUUAUUGGGUUUUCUUGUUAGGCUCUUCUCCUUCGUAGGUGUGUGUAUGAAUUGGUUAAGAUUUUGGGUCAAUUUUAUAUGUAAAUUAACUGGGUGAUUGGGUUUUGAGGGCAAUUUUAAAAAUCUUAGGUUUUUUUAGUCUGGAGUAUGGAUGUGAGUUGGCUUUAUAUGUUCUAGAGUUACAUAUCAUGAAUCAAACUCUAUUUUCGGGUUAUGUAGCUUAACAUAUGUUGUAUACAUGGAACACAGCAUAAUAUGAUGUGCAAGAUCUCUAUUUCUUUCUCCUUCUUGGUCAUUGCUCUUGGAAAUUGAAAGGGGAUGAUCUCAAUCUCAUCCAAGAAGUACAGAAGCAAUGACGUAAUCUUAGUGAAAUUGGAGCACUGGUAGAAGACAUUGGGGGCUUUUUGUGCAGCGAUUGCUUGAAUCUUGGUUACGAUCUUAGAGGCACAGCCUAAUUGAUGCAGACAGAGUUUUCUAUAGGGAUCAUUGAGCUCAAUGGCUAGUUAUUUGAUUUGUCUUUUGUCAUUGGUUCAGCUUUUCAAUUUUCAUGCUAGUAACAUAUAAUUGUAUGCCAGCGGGUGUUUAUUAAGCAUUGG
rnacentral:lncRNA from 1 species